rnacentral:lncRNA from 1 species
UUUCCCCCCUUUUGUUGCCCUGAAAAUUUUAUUUUCCCUCUAUUCCCGCUUGUUUCCGUUUACGUUUUCCCUCGCCUCAGGAAUUUCUCACCCUCACAAACCCUAAUCGAACCUCAACCCUCUCUAUCACAUCCAUCUGGUUCCCUUUGGCACCACUCACUACGGAUACCUUCCAGUGCACCAUAGUUGCCCUCUAUUGCACCGUCGUUUCCCUCUAGUUCAGCGCAUCUCUCCUGUCCGUUGUGUCCAGUUGUCCUCUAAGUUCAUAUGAGUUGAGUUGGACAUGGUGAAGAUUCAUAUACUUGCAAAGGAUAAAAGUUGGAACUGUUGAAUGCGCUUCAGGAGCAAAGUUUUGAGAGAGUAAAUGUUAGGGGUUUGGAUGGUGAUGCUAUUACUUUAAGCAACUACAUGUCUACAUGGAUGCUCAGUAUUAUGGUGAGAUUGGUAUUGGAACUCCACCUCAAAAGUUCACUGUCGUUUUUGACACGGGUAGUUCCAAUCUUUGGGUGGCUUCCGCAAAGUGCUACUUUGUAGCUUGCCUUCUUCACUCAAAGUAUAAGUCUAGCCAGUCAAGUUCCUAUAAGAAAAAUGGUUAUUGUAGGUCGUCUAAGUUUGCAACAUGGUGGCAUACAACACAGGAAUGGUGAGACAAAGUUUGUGAAGGCAUCAUGGAGCCUAACUUGUUAGAUCCACUCUCACAAAAAACCUUGUAGAACUGCUAGCUGAGGAUAACCAACUUCUACCAUUGAAUGGUGAGACAAAGUUUGUGAAGGCAUUACUGAGGUUGUUGCAUUUUGUUUCAGAUGAUUCCAAAGGGGUUGCUCUCGACUUCGAUAAUGCAUGCAGCUAGCUGAAACCAUUCUAGAGGCGGUUUUCUACUGAUCGGGUUGCAAGGUUUGAAGAGGUCGGUUCGAGUUGCAAGUGGCAUGAAGCGGUCCGUUCGACAUAUUUGGAAUGCAAACUUUUUUGAGCUUCACAUGGAAAAUAUGUACAUUUUCAAAUGGUAUACGUUUGUGUUUCAUUCGGAAAACAUGUUUUUUUAAUGGCAAGUCGGAAGACAUGUACUUUUAGGAAUCUUGUAUAAUAUUAGUUUUUAUUUUUUUUGUUUGUUAUUUUUUAUUUUC